rnacentral:rRNA from 1 species
UACGAAGGGGGGCUAGCGUUGCUCGGAAUCACUGGGCGUAAAGGGUGCGUAGGCGGGUUUUUAAGUCAGGGGUGAAAUCCUGGAGCUCAACUCCAGAACUGCCUUUGAUACUGAAGAUCUUGAGUCCGGGAGAGGUGAGUGGAACUGCGAGUGUAGAGGUGAAAUUUCGUAGAUAUUCGCAAGAACACCAGUGGCGAAGGCGGCUCACUGGCCCGGUACUGACGCUGAGGCACGAAAAGCGUGGGGGAGCAAACAGG